UCAACUAUACAGGUGUCGUACAACAGCCGUCAACUAUACAGGUGUCGUACAACAGCCGUCAACUAUACAGGUGCCGUACAACAGCCGUCAACUAUACAGGUGUCGUACAACAACAGCCGUCAACUAUACAGGUGUCGUACAACAGCUGUCAACUAUACAGGUGUCGUACAACAGCCGUCAACUAUACAGGUGUCGUACAACAGCCGUCAACUAUACAGGUGUCGUACAACAGCCGUCAACUAUACAGGUGUCGUACAACAGUAGAGGGCGUCCAUAGGCAGCAGGCCUGAAUAAGCAUCGAACAGAAAUUAAUUAAAAAUAGUCGCAUCGUCGCAUAAACAACAGUACACGCGUCCUUCACGCGUCCUUGACCGUAUAGAAGCAAGUUAGGGAGGACGUUGAUGCCAGUGAAGAGAGAGAAUAGAGUAGUGAAGAUAGAGAGAGAGAGAGAGAGAGGGGGGCGAAACAACAUGAACCGGAGAAUGACGAGGGAAUACUGUUGUACGACAUCAAAUGAUAAACCGCACGUAGAGAAAUAUUCGGUUGAAAGGACAGUUUUGUUCUAUUAUUUAUCACGUCUAUUUUAGCGUUAUUUAUAUUUAUUAGGUUUGGGAUUUUUAGUUUGCUCUGUGACAUAGGGAGGGAGGGAGAGAAGGGGGUGGCGGCUCAAUGCUGGCCCCACAGGCUGCGGCACAUUUCUCAUAGCAAACUAGUCCCGCUGAAUGUACGCUCUCUACUUUAAACGUAUAAGUUCAAUAAAUAUUUAUUAUUACAUAGAC